UCAGAUAUCUGUAAAAUGGCUGGUUUAAAUCACACUUAAUCGACAUAUUUCUGACCAACAAUUAACAUCAAAUGUACGCUACAUUUCGCUUCUUAAGACACGUUUUUUUAAUUGCUCUAACUGCUGCACAUGCGUAACCGUUCAUAAAGAGCACCUCCACGAGAGAAACGUCAGUCGAGUCUUUCAGUUGCACUUUCCCUAUUCAUAGUUAUAGCACUGUAGCGUCUUGUUCAUAUCUAUAGUCUUUGACGAAACAUGCUACGAAGAUAGGCAGAGCACUAGAUUUGACACACAGCCUUAUUCCAUUUACACUUCACAGAUCAGUCUGCUCGCUUUAAAGCAACUCCAUUAAAUAUCAUUUCCACAGCUUUACACUGACAGCCGCCUUUCUUUUAUCAUAUGUGGAGUUUAUUUGAGAUUCAGGAGUGAUUUGAGCGGAAGUUUGAGCUGUUUGGGAUCUUGCAGGAGCUAAUGUUAGCCUGCUAGCUCUUAAUCUGUUUAUAAACCUGCGAUCUCAACAACAUGAAGAUCACUUUGGAUUUUGAGGAAUGUCUUAACGAUUCACCCAGAUUCAGGGCGACGAUCGAGGAGGUGGAGGGGGACGUCUGUGAGCUGGAGUCCAGACUUGAUAAGCUGGUGAAACUGUGCAUUGGAAUGAUAGAUGCUGGAAGGGCGUACAACACGGCCAACAAACAGUUUGUGAAUGGCAUUCGUGAGCUGGCGCAGCAAUCUGCCAAAGAUGAUGUCAUAGAGUCGAGUCUUACGAAGUUUGCUGAGAGUCUUCAAGAGAUGAUCAACUAUCACACAAUUCUGUUCGAACAAGCACAACGAUCAAUUAAAUCACAACUUCAGACAUUUGUGCGAGAGGACCUCCGGAGGUUUAAAGAAGCGAAGAAACAGUUCGACAAAGUGAGCGAGGAGAAAGAGGCGGCUCUGGCCAAAAAUGCUCAGGCACCUCGCAACAAACAGCACGAGGUGGAAGAGGCCACCAACAUUCUCAACGCCACACGCAAGUGUUUCCGUCACAUCGUCCUGGACUACGUGAUGCAGAUUAAUGUGCUCCAGUCCAAAAGGCGCUCAGAAAUCCUCAAAUCGAUGCUGUCCUUCAUGUACGCCCACCUGACCUUUUUCCAUCAAGGUUAUGAUCUGUUCAGUGAACUACAACCCCUCAUGAAACACCUGACAGGACAGUUGGAUCAGCUGGUGGUGGAUGCAGCUAAAGAGAAGAAGGACAUGGAAAUGAAACACUCGACUAUACAACAGAAGGCCGCAUUGCAGGACUUUUCGAAUGACGACACCAAACUGGAGUAUAAUGUUGACGCAGAUAAUGGGAUUGUCAUGGAGGGAUAUCUGUUCAAGAGGGCCAGUAAUGCCUUCAAAACAUGGAACAGGACACCACGGACAAUAACUAGGCGAUGGUUCUCGAUUCAAAACAAUCAGCUAGUGUACCAGAAGAAAUUUAAGGAUAAUCCCACAGUCGUAGUGGAAGACUUGCGAUUAUGCACCGUCAAACACUGCGAAGACAUCGAACGACGAUUCUGUUUCGAAGUUGUUUCUCCGACAAAGAGUUGCAUGAUGCAGGCAGACUCCGAGAAGCUCAGGCAGGCCUGGAUCAAAGCCGUCCAAAACAGCAUCGCAACAGCUUUUAGGGACAUAGCAGAGGAUGCUGAGAAAAUGGACAGAAAGUCAUCUGCAUCUACAGGCAGUCUGGAGUCGAGCGGUGAUACGCGAGAGAAGACUCUUAAAGGGGACAGCGCGCUGCAGAAGGUUAUGGCCAUCGCUGGUAAUAACACCUGCUGUGAUUGUGGGCAGCCCGACCCGCGCUGGGCCAGCAUUAACCUGGGCAUCACUCUAUGCAUCCAGUGUUCCGGGAUACACAGGAGUCUUGGAGUUCACUUCUCUAAGGUCCGGUCUCUCACACUGGACACAUGGGAGCCUGAGCUGCUUAAGCUGAUGUGUGAGCUGGGAAAUGGUGUCAUUAAUCAGAUAUACGAGGCACGUUGGGAAGAGCUUGGAGCCAAAAAACCACAGCCAGGAGAUCCCCGGCAUGAAAUGGAGGCUUACAUCAAAGCCAAGUAUGUGGAGCGAAGGUUCGUCCAAAGGCGGUCGGAAGAUGAGAUCAGACAGAAAGUUUUAGCACUGAGUAAUCAGGACAAACCUCUCAGUGGCUGCUCAGAAGUUCAGCCUUCAAAAGGACCAGUGUCAUCGAAAACCCAUCCAGCCUCUGGCUCCUCAGCGCACCACGAGUCUCUCUUCUGUGUAGAUGAGCUUGAUUCUCUCUUCUCCUACUUUAACACCUCCGCCAAGCUGCGUAGUUUGAAAAGUACAGACAGUGAGACACAGAAUCUCGCCGAUGGAGGAAGAGAAACGAUGAGCUCGACCAACACGCAUGACACGGGCAGUGAGCCUCAGGCCGAAUGUUCGGGUAAAGAUGUCCUGGUGUUCUUUGAGCCGAAGCAGUUGACGCCGGGUCUGCAGCUGUACUGGGCGUCUCUGUCUCGCAGUCUGCCUGAUAUGGCCGAAGCUCUCGCUCACGGAGCCGAGGUGAACUGGAUCAACGCGGAUGAUGGGAACCGGACGCCGCUCAUCAUGGCCGUUCAUGGGGGAUCACUGGUUACAUGUGAAUUCCUGCUCCAGAAUUCAGCCAGUGUGAACCUGCAGGACAGUCUCGGUAGAGGUCCUUUACAUCAUGCCACCAUACUGGGACAUACUGGGCAGGUGUGUUUAUUCCUGAAACGGGGAGCCAAUCAGAACGCAGCCGAUAUAGAGAAUAAAACACCAUUGACGAUCGCAGUGGAGGCGGCAAAUGCUGAUAUUGUCACACUGCUUCGACUGGCCAAGAUGAACGAGGAGAUGCGCGAGUCGGAGGGUCCGUACAGUCAGACAGGUCAAUACAACUCUAACAGCCCUACUGAAAUGCAGUACAGAAAGUGUAUGGAAGAGUUUAUUAGCUUACAGCUCAGAGACUCCUAACACACACAUCAAAACCAUGAAAGGCUGUAGCAUCUGAACAAGAUCUGUGAAUGUACAUACAGUACACAGCCAGUGGAGCUGAGCUCCAUAUAACCCCAGGAUGGGUUCAUCUAACCUCCUAUUUUAAUGUAAAACGUCUUAUUAACAAACAGUGGGUCAAUCUCUGUUAGCACGGGGACAUGUGAAAUAAAUACAGUAGUUUUGUGAAUUUGAUGUUAGAUCGUGUUCAACACAUAUGCCUUAUUUAUAACUUGUUUUCUGUCUAUAAUGGUGGUGUAUUGAAAAUCAAGUUGAAUGAGUGUACAGUAGAAGCAUAUUUAUGAUCAUUCUGCCAUUGGGCAAAAAUCUCAAUUUAAGAAUUGGGUCUUUUUCACGAAUGUAAUUUGAAAUCGACUGGCCACAGGCCACAAUAAGUUAAAUCAUAAUUUAAUGACAAAAAGUGAAAUUUACUGAAUAAACAUUCAAAUAAUUUCACAGAUAAUAACAUUCUGGAAAUCCGUAAAAUUAUGAAAUAGAGUGAAAUAUAUAUCAAUUAUAUACAUCAUUUUUAUAGGCAUAAAUCAUUAAGUUUACAUUUAAAUAGGUUACAACAUGUUUUGUAAACUUUCAAACAACACUAUUCAAGUUUUGUCUUGACAAACUGUUUUUAGUUACUGUUUAGUUUAGUUUUGAUGAUUUCUAGUUAAUAUGUAAUUGGGGUAAAAUGCAUUUAUUUGCCAUUAAAAUUCGUUUUAAUUCUACUUCAUUUGCUACCUCAUAUUAAUGUAAUACUAAUGCAGGAAUUGAAUUAGAAUUUAAAAAGCAUUCGCAAUUCAAUUCUGAGUGGCACAGAAGUCUGUCCAGCACAUUCCUGAUAAUUUCAUUCGAUGUGUUAACAUCAGACCAGAGAUCAUUGCAUUUACCCAAGAAUAAAAAUUAUGAAUGCGUAACAGAGUUAACUAAUUUAAAACGGUUUUAAUUGUAUAGACUAUUUUAUGUAGCAGACUUAUAUCGAUGGAGGUUUGAAUGAUUUUAAGUAAAGAAUUUUAUUUAACAAAAAAACAUUGAUGCAGACGUUUUGCGUGAAUUAUAUUUGUAGAAUUAUAUUUAGUAUAUAUUUUUUAAUAAAAUGUGCAAUGAACUUGUUAGAAUUUUUACGUUAAUCAGAGUUUAUUUAGAUAUAAAUAUUUCAAAAGGAAAACAAUAAUAAAAAGAAAUGUCAGAAUAUGUAUGUACAGUAUGUGUAUCUAUGUUAUAAAUAUAUUUUUUUGUUUAUGAAAGUGCCAUUUUGCAUUAGGUCUGUUGAAGAAUUUAGCUUUAAAAUAAUUAUAAAAGUUUAUCUGUAGUAUAGAGUUGGAAAUUUACUAGUUGUAGUCACAGAGGGGCACAAUAAAGCAGGACUGAUGUCAGCCGUCCACCAGACACAUGUAUAAACAUACAAAAGCUAGUCUCAGGUUUCAUGAAUAUCAACAUUAAACAGCCCUUAUGUAAAGCUGUCAGAAUUAUUCAGUGUAUUGAUGCACAUUGUAUUGAUAUGGACGUAUCAGAAUUAUUCACUAUAUGUAAUUCUGCAAUGCACUGUUGUACAGUAUAUGUUGUAUAUUUCUGAGCACCUUUUAUUUUUCAUUCUCUUUACCAUCUCACAGCCUGUAAAAAAACAGGCAAAAAUCAUGUUUUAAAAGAGCCUCAAUACAAGUUAAGCUGAAAAGUUCUCUAAAAUCUUCACAACACUUGACACUCUCAUGAAUGUUUUAAGGUGAAUGAAUGUAAAAUAUAGCCAGAGAGAUCAAAUAUAACAGAUCGUUAUUUGUUUUAUAUUUCAUUUAUUUAAUGUCACAUGCUUUUCAACUCUACAAAUAUCUGCAUUUCUUUCUUUUCUGCUGCAUUUUCCUGCUGUCUUCUGAGUUUUUCUGACGAAGUUUUGCAGGUGAUGAAACCUAUCAGGACAUUUUCCAAGACUUCUCGCAAAUGGCAUCAAAUGAUCCAGAUAAACUCAACCGCUUCACAUAAAUGCAGUUUAGGUAACAUGAUUAAUGCAGAGAAUGCACUUCCAUUGUUUUAUUGGAUUAGUUACAGAAUAUUGCCCAUUAAUCAAGUAUAAAAUAUAUUCAUCUGAAGGUAAUCUUUCUAUUAUGCAAAGUGUUAUUUUUAAUGUCAAAUACCCGUCCUGGUAUUAUUAAAUAUGAGAAGUCUUUUUGCCAUGAAAUCAGUCUAUUUGCCCAAAUUAUAUUGCGCUCACAGUCUCAUUGUAAUAGGCUGUGUUUUUGUCUAGGAUUGUAAAAUGCUGAUCAAAUGUUCCAUGUAGAGUUUAUUACUGGGUUUCUCUAUACGUGAACAGUGAAUAAUGGGAGUAUUGUUUAUGGGAGUUUAUGGGCACCAUUCAUGAAACACAAGCAGGACACAUUUUUAUGUUUGUAAAAUCAUUUACUGUUGACUUGCACAAAUCUCUGGUGUGUUUAUGAAAUGACACCCAUUUUUAUUUAGCAAAUAUGGGUCAAAUAUGGAAUACAAUUCUGCUGUUAGCCUGACUGUAGUUUACAUAACAGUUUACAUAAAAACAUUUUCAAAAAAAACAAAGCAUUUAGUCAUUUCGUGCAUGUUUUUAUUUUUCAAUAAUUGCUGUUUAAUUGUACGUUUCAAGACAUUUUUGAAAGAGAAUAAAAAUCUUGCCUGACGUUUUUACAUUUGCAUUUGCGCCCGACCUUGUUUUUAUGUACAGAAAAGGUACAGUGAAACAUAAUCAUAGCACAAUGUAUGGUGGUGUGUAAAUUCUGUACAUACAGUACAUCUUGGACAGGGUCGUUUAUUUUGUGGUACUUUUGAAGUAUUGUAAGCGUACUUUUGUGCUUUGUAUUCAACAUUUCAUUUUGUAAUCAUCCUGUUUAUGAUCCAUGCGUUUUUAAAGAUUAUUUUAUCCACUGACUGAAAUGAUCUCAAGAUAUAUGAUUAGUUCCCUUCUUUAAACCCUUUCAGAAGAACUUCAGCCAGUCAAACGACUUAUUGUAUUAUGUAAAGAAAUCUUCCAUGCAGUGGCGUUUCUGUUUGUUAUGAAGAGGUUGGUAUUACAUACUGUAAACAUUGGCGUUGUGUUCUGUGAGACGAUGCAGCCGUUCAUUUGCUCAUGACGGAUGACCUCACGGCCUUGCCAGCUGUGCCAUACGCUAAAUCUUCACAUCAUGAUGUUUUGUAGACUUCAAGCUUUACCCAUCAUACCAGUUCAGGAGCUUCAUUUAUAAAGCAUGUCAAAUAACAGCUUGUAACGCCUACCUUAUGUGUUCAAGGCAAACUAAGCCAUAACCAUGAGGAAUUACUUCCCAGGACUCAGACAUGGAGAACUAUUAUUUCAUUAAUAGUCAAUGUGUAAGGGGCAACAAAAGAUAUAUAUACAGUAUAUAUGUAUAUAUAUAUAUAUGAAGAGUUUGUUUCCAAAAUGAGAUAACUGUUUUUUUUUCAAAAAUCAUGUUUUUUAUUACAUUAUCAUGUUUUUAUUGUGUUAGUUAGCUGUAUUUUUGAGUUAUGGCUUAAAUCAAAACAAACCAACUGCAGUUUGAUUGAUACUAAUUGGAAUGCACUAUUAAAAAAAACAAU